rnacentral:rRNA from 1 species
UACGUAGGGUGCGAGCGUUAAUCGGAAUUACUGGGCGUAAAGUGUGCGCAGGCGGCGCCGCAUGUCGAGUGUGAAAGCCCCGAGCUUAACUUGGGAAUUGCGCUCGAAACUACGGUGCUGGAGUGUGGCAGAGGAAGGUGGAAUUCCACGUGUAGCGGUGAAAUGCGUAGAGAUGUGGAAGAACACCGAUGGCGAAGGCAGCCCCCUGGGAUGAGACUGACGCUCAUGUACGAAAGCGUGGGGAGCAAACAGG